rnacentral:lncRNA from 1 species
GAGUAGUCCUAUGAGAUUUGAGAAGUUAAGUCCAUGAAUCUGUGGCCACAGUAGAGUGAUUGAUGGAAAAAAAUUUUCAUAGACAUCACAUCUGGACUUGAGCUAAUCAAAUCUAUCAUAUGAUUGAUGUUGAGGUUUGACGAUUUAUCCAUGACCUACCAUCUAGUCAGGACUUACGAUAGAGGGACUGAAUCACACAUUAACCACACCUAGAGGUUUAUUUCAGUUCUACUGGGUUGUCACUACAUACUGCUAGGUGUCACUGGUGG